GGUGUUCUUGUCCAGCAUACAGUUGCAGCUCUUCAAUUGUGGAUCAACCACAAUUCAUCUGUUGAGGUGUUGGAUGAGUUUUGGAAGAAAAGGGUGAGGGUUUUGAUUUGAGACAAGAG